UAGGAAUCAGAAAUUUCUUCUCAUAAGUGACACCACUGGCCCUUACAGUCAGCCUGUUGCUCGCACUUGCGCACAUGCUCGCUAAUGAGUGAGCAGCAGUGCAAGACUAUUGCAGAUGUCUUUUUGCAUAAACACAAACACAGAGGCUCCUGUUGCGCUGUGGCUUCUGGCUGGUAGAGCCAAUCCACAUUGCCCAACCCGCUGUUAAUCAACCACCCAAACCUGACCCAACCCACUUUUUUUUACCAAUUGUGUUUACUAAACACCAGUAGGCUCAGUGAGCUGUGGCUAGGGAGCAACACACUGUUGUUUUGUUGUGAAAUGUGUGCUUAUUACCUCCUUUGGACAACCAACAGGAAAAACAAAAGGGCGGCCUGGAUUAGCAUCAUGGACAUCAAGAAAAAGAGUUUUCUUAGCAGAAAAAGAAAACGAGAAAGCCCAGGCCAGACAGGGAAAGAAAAGGGGAGUGAACAGGCAUCAGAGAGCGAUAGAGGCAGACAUAAAGAGAGAGAGAGAGCGACAGAGCCCUGGCCAGGCAGAGAAAGGAGAAAGAGGUGACCAGGUGCAAGCUCAGCCUAUAUCAGAGGAUUUGACAGGGGCUUUUUCUUCAGCCCUAUUGGAAGAUUUAACAGAGUCCACCUCUACGCCUUUCCUCAAAGACCCGGGUCAGUUCACUCCAACAGCACUUCAACUAGGCUGCAAGGACAGCAGCCAAUAUUCUGCUCUCGGUACUUGAAUAAACAUAUCCCAGCCAGUUAGCGUGCAUGACUGGCUUCAGAUGAGGUGAUGGAGGGUCAUUUUCCAGCUUUGAUUGACCACUGUAAAAGCCAGAGCUCACAAUUAUUUGCUGCCACUCAACACCAAGCCGCUCUGUUGCUUUACCUACACAGAAUGAAAUUAGUUGUUGCUUUAAAUCAGCCAACAGUGACGAAUGUGCAGUUUUCCACAGUCUGUGCCAUGCCUCUUCACAGCCACAGGGCUAUUUGUUGCUAAAUAAAGAUCAAUACAGAACAAGAGAUCCAUGCAGAUACAAGUACUCAGGGACAUUUACUCAUUGGUUCUGCACAUUUGUGUUUGAAACAGAUGUGGCCUUUGUACACAAGAAAAUAUUCUGCAGUUAUAGUCAAAGAGGAGACAAAGAGGAGAGGGAUAGCAAACAGGAAAACGAAAUUACAUUGGAGUUGCAAGUAAAUGAAGGACAAAUAAAAAAGGAUAGUAAAUAAAACUGUGAUUUUGUGCCAAGAUGAUUUGCAAUUGAAAUUUAGCUCUUUACUUAAAGCAAAUAAUUGUGAGGAGUAGGUACAAAGAUGUGGCCUCCACUAACUCACCCACAGUAGAUACAUGAAACUGUGUACAGUGACCACUCUUUGUGCUGUUGUUGUCACUUUGAUCCGAGCAAAUGGAACACGUCCUUCAGAGCUAUCACUCUCCACCUGCACUGCAGCAUACAUGCCUUUAUCAUCUUGUCUAAAUUUGAAAGAAAAACCUAAUGAUUGAUUUUUUUCUUUAAAAGCAUUUGAAAGUGUCUAUCUUGCCAGAUGCUAUUUAAAAAACAAUAGUUAAGUUCAGAGGCCUUGGACAUUGUGGAUCCUGUGUCCUCUCUGUUUCUGCUGACGCUGUGUGUUGACACAACCGUAAGUGUGCGGCUUUAUCACUGAUCCACUGGGAAAGUACAGCUAAUAGAAUUAAUUGUAUUUCACAUUCUGUUUGCGUUUUCAGUUGCUCCAUAUGUGUUCUUACACACUCUGUUAAUUCCUCACUGUGAUUGUCUUUAUCAAGUUAAUCCCAAUAUUUAAAAGACCCGCCUCUCCAGUCAUCCAUUUGUACUUUGUUUCCUUCUGUGAUUGUGACCUCUGCUGCAUCCAUCCAUGAACACAAACCUCCUACUGAUAACGGGGGAAUAAAACAGCAAAGGCUUUGCAUCUAAAAGUCUGUCUGCUGUUUUUCUUUAUGACAGCCUUUACUCAGCGCAGCCAGCCAGCACAAGGCAGAUCAGCUCUUUGGGUAGGAAGUCUGACUUGAACAGUUGCUGGUUUGUCCUUGGCACUGGUAGUGCCCAACAUAACUGCAGCAAGGGCACCUCAAAAACCAUGUUAAGUAUGUGUGCUGAUGUCCUCCAAGGUCUGCUAGUGGAUACUGUCAGAGUAAAAAUAAAUUACACACACUGUCUUACACUGAUGGUAUAGCCACUAUUUCCUCUGAAUAUAAAACAAUUUACAAUCUUGUCCUUGGUGAAAAUUCAGGGGACUAUCUCUUAUCUUGUCUUGUGUUUUUCCAUUAAAAACUGGCCAGUGUGACAUGGAGCUAGGGGCUAAGCUAAAAGCCUUCUCUGUAUGCAGCAGCUGUGUACGUGUGUGUGUGUUUGUGUGUAUGUGUGUGUGUAUGUCUUCGUAUGUGUGUGUGUGUGUGUGUGUGCAUGAGAAUUUGUGAGAUAUUAGAAUUAAGGAGUGGCUUGGUUAAUCACCCUUUAUCAACUGCUCCCUUUGGCUCCUUUGCAGUCCCCCUCACCGAUCAGGCUGACACAGCCACUGAGAUGCACUAAUAACAUUGCUCAUCCAAACAGAAUUAAACCUGAAAGGCCUCAGCCAUUGGAAGGAUCCCUUAGGAACUGCAGCUAAAAAGUCUGGAACCAGACAUCGUACAGGGACAGUCAAAACUGAUUUAAUGCUUUCCUACUGAGCAACAGACAAGAACGUGCACACAGAGACAAAGCAAUAUUCAGCAUUAAAACGACUGUUUUAGAAGUUAUCCGAUUACAUGAGUAAUAAUGCAGCCACAUUGGAAUUUGAAUCCCAAAAUGUCCAUAAUGUCUAAGCUCUUUGGUCCUCAUAACUGCAUUGUAGUUUGAACAAAAUGACUUCUACAUUCAGCUAUUGUGUAAGUCAAAGCCUAUUUGAAAGGGAUAAAGGGCUUUCUUAUGAAGUUCAUGGGGGAGUCAAGUUCAUUAGUGGUUUUGAUGGAGUAGGAGGUAUGAAUCAAACCUGAGUCAGUGAGAGAAAGAGGGAGACAGAGAGAAAGAGAUGAUAAGAACCGUUGAGGCUUUCACUAAGAGCUGAGCAAACCACAAACAGGCUCCAAAGGGGCAGGUCUUCAGUCCCUCCGUCAAUACUGGGUCACACACACAAAAGUAGGUGUGCCACACACAUAUAAGCAGUUAAUGUUACAUUGAUCACUAUUUUCCCAUUACUCUCAUAAUCUGUUGUGUUGCUUUUCAUAAAACAGCCACCCACUUUCUCUCUAAUUACUCUGUGUGCCAAUUAGUGUGGUUGUGGCAGUUUACAGUUAUGUAGUAUAUGUUGCUAUGUAGCUAAGUGGGAUCUGACAGAAUUGGGUCACAUCAAUACAAGAGAAUACAGUUACUUCUCACUCUAAUCUAGACUAAUCUAGAUCGUUCCGAUAAGGUUGUUAUAGUCUUUCAAUUCAGAUAGGGUAGGAAUGUGAUAGCUUCUACGUUCUACACACUUUUUUGGUUCCCAAAAGACAUAUUGACAGUGGAUAUGUGCACUUGCCAGCUCAUAGUCACAGUUGCCUCAGUUCUGAAAGGGAUUUCACCAUUUACUUUAAAGUUUCAUCAUGAACAGGACACGAUGCAUUCCUUUGACACUGAAAUCAAGUGGUUGACACAAGUGGCUAAAUGAUGCUAAAUAGUGUUAAAAAGCAAUUAAAGCUACACAUCUGAUUAUAAAUGUUUAAUACUGUAUGUACAGUAUGAACCUACUCUAAGACAGAAGGGAUAUAAUAUGCCCAUUCUGCAUGGGUUCACAAAUGAUUUGCAUUGUUAGCUGAAGACUAGCAUUAAUAUAUUUACAUGAUUUAUCUAUAAAAAAAUAAGCAGAAACAAAGCUAACUGCUGAGCAGCCUUUUCUUCUAUUUGAUAUUUUCUCAAAUAUGACAAAUGAAACUGUUAUACUGAUAGAUAUAAAUGAGCUGUCUUGGAAAUGAAGGCUCAUAGCAACUAAGCAAUAAAAUUACUUUUCAACAUGUAGGCUUCCACUCAUGAGCAGUGGGGAAUAGGGCUUCCAAGCAGGCCCAUUAGGUUCAAUAAAAUAAACAAGACUGGAAGCCACUUGAUGAAACUGUGACAGUUUUAUUUACUGACAGGCACCAUAAAUCAGUUAAGAACAAAACAGAACACAAAAGGCAAAUUUAACAUGGAGCAGAAGCAACAUGUUUCAGCCUUAGAGCUCUUCUUCCUCAGGUAGCAUCAAUCAAUAGGUUAAGUUGAAUCUUAGAAAUAGAGGAACAUAUCACAUCCCAAAUGCAUGGUCACAUGCACAACUUGUUUCAUCAUGCAGCCUCCAGUGUCUUUUAUUGCAUGACACAGGCAGGAAAUUAGUAGUAUAAAAUACUUCCAAGAUAUGCUGCCCUGGUAAGUCAAGUAGAACCGCCGCGCUGCACGACCUCAGCACUGACAUUCAAUCAGUUCUGAGUGGGCGUUUGGGUGAGAAUAAGCCGCCUGACUGACAGUGCUAAAAGGGGUCAGGAAGUCCAAGGCUAUUGAUCAAUAAAAGUGAGCAAGUAUACACGGGAUACAUGCCCGACACAUACACACAAACACACUCUCUGUCUUUCUCACCCCAGGAAAUAUACCUUGCUUCAGACUGUUCAUUAGAAAUCACAAGACCCUCUGCCAUCUUCAGUCCCUCCCACACUCAUUCCAUAAAAGACCGCAUAAUAAUAGAGGGAAGACACUCAGCCUUUUGAACACAAUCUACACAUCUCCUUAUUGUGUAUUUACUACAUCAGACCUAUGAUUGGGUUUAUGUAUCUCCCUGAAGCUGCUACAAAGCAUUUAGCCUUCCUCCUCUCUACAUUAUUAAAUGUUCCUGUCAUUAUUUUUGAUGACUUCUCUCAGGCAUUCCUCUGAAAAUAGAACUCCCUUGUUCAGCGGCUGCCAGGCGAGAAAAGGCAGACAGAGGAGAGCAUGGUUGCGCUGGUAAUGCUGGAAAAGAGA